UACGAAGGGGGCAAGCGUUGCCCGGAUUUAUUGGGCGUAAAGUGUUUCGUAGGCGUCCUUGUAAGUUACUUUUCAAAGCCCAGGGCUUAACUCUGGACCGGGAAGUAAUACUGCAAGGAUUGAGAGAUACCGGGGCAACUGGAAUUGUCGGUGUAGGGGUGAAAUCCGUUGAUAUCGACAAGAACUCCGAAGGCGAAGGCGGGUUGCUAGGUAUUUUCUGACGCUGAGGAACGAAAGCUAGGGGAGCGAAAGGG
rnacentral:misc_RNA from 1 species